GAGUGUGUAGAUCUAGCGAGGAGCUCCUUUCAGUCCAACAACGAGGAUCGAGGAGCGGCAAGAGCUGCCAUGUCAUGCAUGUUGGUUAAACUUAACUAGCGUGCAAUUGUUAAGAAUAACCAGUUGCAUGACAGGGGAGCAACUACUUCCGCUAACUUGAUCCACUUAUUGGACUGAAGGGAGCUCCUCCUUAUAUGUCAUACAGUCCUAGUUAAACACCAUAAUUCACAUAUGAUAUCACGUACAACUCCCAAAUUCCUUUGUCGUAGUUACUACGCACUAUCUUUUAUCUUGUAUUGAUUAAUUGUUGUGUAUAUUCUGCUUGACGGCGUUAGUAUUUAGAGGAAGGAGAAUGAUUGUGGUCGCAUUUCAUUUCAAGACGUUGGAACCUGGAAGAGACAUCAGCAAUGAGUCGUGCGCUUUUGGGGAACACAAAUUAAUUAACCUGAGGCCAAAUACUCCAACUAAUUGCCACUCUAGGCCUCUUUAAGUAUCUGCUCUUGCGGUCAAUUUUGACACUUUCAGUUUUCCUUGUCCCAAAUAAAGAGGCUGUGUUGCCCGAUUACUUAUUACUAUUAUAAAUUUCU